ACUGAACGCUGGCGGCAGGCUUAACACAUGCAAGUCGAGCGGGGGAGGUUGCUCUCUGGGUGGCGAGUGGCGGACGGGUGAGGAAUACAUCGGAAUCUACUCUGUCGUGGGGGAUAACGUAGGGAAACUUACGCUAAUACCGCAUACGACCUACGGGUGAAAGCAGGGGACCUUCGGGCCUUGCGCGAUUGAAUGAGCCGAUGUCGGAUUAGCUAGUUGGCGGGGUAAAGGCCCACCAAGGCGACGAUCCGUAGCUGGUCUGAGAGGAUGAUCAGCCACACUGGAACUGAGACACGGUCCAGACUCCUACGGGAGGCAGCAGUGGGGAAUAUUGGACAAUGGGCGCAAGCCUGAUCCAGCCAUACCGCGUGGGUGAAGAAGGCCUUCGGGUUGUAAAGCCCUUUUGUUGGGAAAGAAAUCCAGCUGGCUAAUACCCGGUUGGGAUGACGGUACCCAAAGAAUAAGCACCGGCUAACUUCGUGCCAGCAGCCGCAGUAAUAC
rnacentral:rRNA from 1 species